ACGAACGCUGGCGGCGCGCUUAACACAUGCAAGUCGAACGGAAAGGCCUGCUUUCCCUUGUGGAUUGCGGGUACUCGAGUGGCGAACGGGUGAGUAACACGUGAGUGAUCUGCCCCCAACUUGGGUAUAAGCCUGGGAAACUGGGUCUAAUUCCCGAUAGGACUGCAGGGUGGUGCCUGUGGUGGAAAACGAUUUUCUAGUGGUUGGGGAUGAGCUCGCGGCCUAUCAGCUUGUUGGUGGGGUAAUGGCCUACCAAGGCGGCGACGGGUAGCCGGCCUGAGAGGGUGGACGGCCACAUUGGGACUGAGAUACGGCCCAGACUCCUACGGGAGGCAGCAGUGGGGAAUAUUGCGCAAUGGGCGGAAGCCUGAUGCAGCGACGCCGCGUGGGGGAUGACGGCCUUCGGGUUGUAAACUCCUUUCGACCGCGAGGAAGCCACCUGGUUGGAAGGGUGGUGACGGUAGUGGUAGAAGAAGCACCGGCUAACUACGUG
rnacentral:rRNA from 1 species